rnacentral:rRNA from 1 species
GUUCCAGACUCCUACGGGAGGCAGCAGUGGGGAAUAUUGCACAAUGGGGGAAACCCUGAUGCAGCGACGCCGCGUGAGCGAUGAAGUAUUUCGGUAUGUAAAGCUCUAUCAGCAGGGAAGAAAAUGACGGUACCUGACUAAGAAGCCCCGGCUAACUACGUGCCAGCAGCCGCGGUAAUACGUAGGGGGCAAGCGUUAUCCGGAUUUACUGGGUGUAAAGGGAGCGUAGACGGCGGUGCAAGCCGGAUGUGAAAGCCCGGGGCUCAACCCCGGGACUGCAUUUGGAACUGUGCUGCUAGAGUGUCGGAGAGGCAGGCGGAAUUCCUAGUGUAGCGGUGAAAUGCGUAGAUAUUAGGAGGAACACCGGUGGCGAAGGCGGCCUGCUGGACUGUAACUGACGUUGAGGCUCGAAAGCGUGGGGAGCAAACAGGAUUAGAUACCCCUGUA